AUGCUUUGUUCAAUCACGAGCACACGGUCCAUCGUUAAGUCACCCAUCUCUCUCUUCUUUCCUCUUUCUCAAUCUUUGUCAACCAAACCCAUUUCACAAUCCCACACGGAUUUCGAUCCCACCGCAGUCCACGAAACCCUCUACUCCUACUGCAAUGACUGGAAGCGUGCUCUCGAUUUCUUCAACUGGGUCCAAACCCAAUCACAUUUCCAACACACAACUCAUACGUACAAUCGUAUGCUCGACAUUCUAUGCAAGUUCUUCGAAUUCCAGCUUUCUUGGGACUUAAUUCAUCGAAUGAAAACAAACCCUUUUUCCAAACCAGACCAUACCACCUUUCGGAUUUUGUUUAAGCGAUAUAUAUAAUAUAUGUGCACAUUUAGUUACAGAAGCUGUAGGUAUUUAUGAUUCGUUAGACGAGUUUGGUUUGAAGGAUGAGAUGUCUUUUUGUAAUCUUAUUGAUGCUUUGUGUGAGUACAAGCAUGUGGUUGAGGCCUAUGAUUUGUGUUUUGGGAUGAAGAAGAAGUUUGGUGUUGAUGCGAAGAAUACCAAGAUUUAUAAUAUGAUUCUUCGCGGGUGGUUUAAGUGUAGGGAGUUUUGGGAAUAGAUGGAUCCAAUGGGUGUCCGUAAAGAUUUGCAUUCUUAUUCGAUAUAUAUGGAUAUAAUGUGCAAGAGUGGGAAGCCAUGGAAGGCUGUGAAGUUGUAUAAGGAGAUGAAGAAGAAGGGUAUAAGGUUGGAUGUGGUGGCGUAUAAUACGGUUAUGCUGUUGGUCUUUCGGAGGGUGUAGAUUGUACUGUUCGAGUGUUUAAGGAAAUGAGGGACUUCGGUUGUAAACCUGAGGUUGCGACUUAUAAUACGAUUAUAAAGCUGUUUUGUGAAAAUGGUAGAUAUAAGGAGGCUUAUGAGUUGCUCGAUCGAAUGCAUGAGAAGGGUUGUGUACCAGAUGUUAUCACGUUCAAUUGCAUUUUUAGAUGUCUUGAGAAGCCCAGAGAGAUUCUUAGGCUUCUCGAUAGAAUGAUUGAAAGCAGGGUUCAUCCCAGGAUGGAUACUUAUGUGGUGCUUUUGAGAAAAUUUGGGAGAUGGGGGUUUCUUCGACCAGCUUUUAUUGUGUGGGAGAAGAUGGAGGAACUUGGGUGUAGUCCAGAUGAGUCUGCUUACAAUGCUUUGGUAGAUAAAGGAAUGGUAGAUAUGGCACGGAAGUAUGAUGAAGAGAUGUUAGCAAAAGGGCUUUCGGCUAAACCAAGGGAGGAGCUUGGGACAAAGCUCGUGAGUGUAGGAUCUCAUGACAGUGAUUUAUGAGAAGCAUAUUUAUCUGAGGAUGAAAUUUGUAAUUUAUUGGUGUGAUCUGAAGAUACAUAGUGCUGACAUGCAAAGUGGAUAUACCUCAAGAUUGUGACAAAGACUGCUAGCUAGAAGGCUCUAGGUUACAUACUGGUGAAAGAGUUUGCUGCAUUAAUGGGGGAUCUGUUAAGUGUUUGUGAUGGGCCCAUACUAAAGUGGAUGCUCUUUCCCUAUCAAUACCUUACAAGUGAAUGUUAAAAGCUUUUCUGGCUUAAGGAUGUUCGCGUCAUCUACACAUGCUCAGGGCUGCCUAAUAUGAGCAUAUGUUCUGGGUGUUCUGGAGUGGUGGUUCUUUUGGAGCAUCAUCAUCUCAAUCAAAAUCUUUAGCAAAUGAAUAGCACAAAUACCCUAAUAUGGCUAGGGAAGUCAUUUUCAGGUGAUUGGCACAUAUAAGCACAAAGCACAUAGGCACCCAAAAGCCUGCAAAAUUAAUGUGCACAAACCCAGUUAUAGAUAAAUGAAGGAGAAUCUGGUUGCAGAAAGGAGGAAAAGUUAUGGUAACUGGCAGGAAAUACUGAUGUGCUGAUAAAAAUUAAAAUAAAUUCUAUGAAGCUAUUUUAAAGAUGUAGAGGAAGUGUGCUGAAUCUUGUACAAGAAAAAGGUUAUAAUUGAAAUAAGCUUUGGUGCUUAUGCAAGCAAGCAUCUGAAACCAUUCCUCAUCUUCCUUAUGUGCCUCUGCGAAAUCAGUUUGGUUGGUCUCUUCUUCUCUGUAAGUUUCAGUAAGCAUGUGAUUCUCUUGAUCUUUCUGCAAAUUUGGAGGAAUGUAAAAAAUAAUUUCCCAGGAAAGGAACAUGAACAGGACUGCCAGAGACAAAGCAGCUGUAAUAUGUGGGAGAGUUGACAGUAAGAUUUUUCCAGUCAAAAGACUCCCACAAAGUGUAGGUAGCUUAUAGAGCUGUGAAGCUAGUUGGUGAGUUUUAUGCAGAAAGUUGGCUCCUAAAGCAGAUAAUAGUGUGCAAACUUUUAGUUCUAGGAGGAAGCUCCAUUGGCAACAACCAGGAAUGGGGUUUUCAAAAUAUUUCUGGAAAAUCCUUUGACAUCAACACAAGGAUUGCUUAUUUGAUUGUAACAGUGGAUGCUGUGGCAGCUAGAGAAGGCAUCAGUUUUGUUGAAGGUGGUGCUUGGAAAGUCAUUUAAAAUCUGAAGACAGGUCCCUUAAGGAUGACUCUCAGGUAAUUCUAAAGGAAUGCAUUCUUAUGAUGAGUUAUGCCUGUCUGGUUCACCUCUACCUAGAGAGGUUUAAAAAGUGGGAAGCAUGCCUAGAAAAUUCCCAUUUUUGUAUUGAUGUGCACAUUUCAGAAUACUCCCUUGAUUCAGGGAGCACGAAAACAAUUUUAUUUAGUUUUAAAAGUCAAAAUGUAUUUUUUACCAUUGGAUUUUAUUUUAGGUCUGUUUUUUGACAGGGAGAUUUUAUUUUAGGUCUUGCUAGUUAAAAUUAUUUGUAUUGUAUUUAAUUUUUUAGAGUCAAGGUUAUUUUCAUAAUUCAAUAAUUGGGAUUGUCCCCACGUCAAAUUGGAUUAGCUCUAGUUCUAAAAGUCUA